rnacentral:rRNA from 1 species
GAUGAACGCUGGCGGCGUGCUUAACACAUGCAAGUCGAACGGAAAGGCCCAAGCUUGCUUGGGUACUCGAGUGGCGAACGGGUGAGUAACACGUGGGUGAUCUGCCCCGCACUUCGGGAUAAGCUUGGGAAACUGGGUCUAAUACCGGAUAGGACCUCCUCUUGGAGGUUGUGGUGGAAAGUUUUUUCGGUGUGGGAUGUGCUCGCGGCCUAUCAGCUUGUUGGUGGGGUAAUGGCCUACCAAGGCGUCGACGGGUAGCCGGCCUGAGAGGGUGUACGGCCACAUUGGGACUGAGAUACGGCCCAGACUCCUACGGGAGGCAGCAGUGGGGAAUAUUGCACAAUGGGCGGAAGCCUGAUGCAGCAACGCCGCGUGGGGGAUGACGGCCUUCGGGUUGUAAACUCCUUUCGCUAGGGACGAAGCGCAAGUGACGGUACCUAGAGAAGAAGCACCGGCUAACUACGUG